AAUCAACCUAAAACAAGCAUGGCGGGAAUGGAGACAACAUAAAGGACAAUGGAUAAAGGAUGAGGUCAGAGGGGACUAUGUGCCAUACUGCAUGAUCAUCUGGACGCAAUACUGCAAGGAUGGGAUUCUACAACACAACAGGCCCAGGGUGCAGAUGGAAUCGAAAUGAGUCACGAUUCCAGACCAUGGCGGAUAAAUCCAGUUUCGACUCACCAAGGCGAAGCGGUUGACU